rnacentral:misc_RNA from 1 species
UUUCCGUAGGUGAACCUGCGGAAGGAUCAUUAAAGAGUAAGGGUCUCUGGCCCGAACCUCCAACCCUCUGUUGUUAUAACUACUUCGUUGCCUUGGCGGGACCGCGAAGGUUCUCCCGAGCGCGCCAGUCUCCGGACAGGCGAGCGCCCGCCAGAGUCUAACCAAACUCUUGUUUUAAACCAGUCGUCUGAGUAUAAAAUUUUAAUUAAAUUAAAACUUUCAACAACGGAUCUCUUGGUUCUC